CAAGCACCAAGUAAUGAAACAAUUAUAAAUACGAGCUACGUCGAUUCAUCGUUAUUGCAAGAAGUAAAUAAAUUAAUAUAUUUUUCUGUGUAAUAAAUAAAACAUAUUACGAAUAACGAGUAUUUUAGAUAAUUUCACUGAACAAACAAAAACUUCCAUUACUUAACAUGCGAUAGAUUUCAUAGAAUUGUAGGAUACAAAGGAAAAAUGUCAGCGAAGAGAAACGUGAAGCAAAUAUGUGUGAAUUGCGAAAGACGGAAUUCAAUGAUUCGAAUUGAUCUAAAAAUAAUUCCAAAUGAGAGUUAAAGGAAGAAAAGAUAAAGAAUAUGGAGCGAUAAAUCACGGAUAAAGACAAUCACUGACAAAAGGAAGACAAAUUGGAGAUAAUGAAAACGGAAAACAAAUUAAAGUAGAUCUUCGUUUUCGUCUGUGA
rnacentral:misc_RNA from 1 species